GUGGUAAUGCCGGAUGCUCCAGUUGAUCGCAUGGUCUUCUGGGAAAGCUUUCGCGGUAUGGGAUGGGGUCGCGUCCUAUCAGCUUGACGGCGGGGUAACGGCCCACCGUGGCUUCGACGGGUAGCCGGCCUGAGAGGGCGACCGGCCACAUUGGGACUGAGAUACGGCCCAGACUCCUACGGGAGGCAGCAGUGGGGAAUAUUGCACAAUGGGCGCAAGCCUGAUGCAGCGACGCCGCGUGAGGGAUGGAGGCCUUCGGGUUGUAAACCUCUUUUAUCGGGGAGCAAGCGAGAGUGAGUUUACCCGUUGAAUAAGCACCGGCUAACUACGUGCCAGCAGCCGCGGUAAUACGUAGGGUGCAAGCGUUAUCCGGAAUUAUUGGGCGUAAAGGGCUCGUAGGCGGUUCGUCGCGUCCGGUGUGAAAGUCCAUCGCUUAACGGUGGAUCCGCGCCGGGUACGGGCGGGCUUGAGUGCGGUAGGGGAGACUGGAAUUCCCGGUGUAACGGUGGAAUGUGUAGAUAUCGGGAAAGAACACCA
rnacentral:rRNA from 1 species